GACGAACGCUGGCGGCGUGCUUAACACAUGUAAGUGGAGCGACGAACCAGGCUUCGGCCUGGGGCAGAGCCGCGAACGGGUGAGUAACACGUGGGUAACGUGCCCCGAUGACCGGGACAACCCGGGGAAACCCGGGCUAAUACCGGAUGUGCCCUCCUCACACCAGUGAGACGGGGAAAGGAAGCUUCGGCCUCCGCAUCGGGAUCGGCCCGCGGCCCAUUAGCUGGUUGGUGAAGUAAGAGCUCACCAAGGCUGCGAAGGGUAGCUGGUCUGGAAGGACGAUAAGCCACACUGGGACUGAGACACGGCCCAGACUCCGACGGGGGGCAGCAGUGGGGAAUGUUGCGCAAUGCGCGACAGCGUGACGCAGCAACGCCGCGUGGGGGAAGAAGGCCUUCGGGUUGUAAACCCCUUUCGGGAGGGACGAAGCCCGGGCCGUUAAUAGCGGUCCCGGGUGACGGUACCUCCACAAGAAGCCCCGGCUAACUACGUGCCAGCAGCCGCGGUAAAAC
rnacentral:rRNA from 1 species